rnacentral:lncRNA from 1 species
CCAUUUCAAUAUAUCAUUAUGUAUAUCAAUAUAUCAUGUACCAUCAUUUCCAUGUAUUUCAUGUAAAUAUCUGUAUUAGUUUGUAUCAAACUCAUAUCGUCUCGUAACAGAAUAUUGCCCGUUGAACCAUUUAGAAUAUCGUUGGAUAACUUUCAAAUUCAUUAAAUAAAUCACUUUACCAAGACUUUCCCAAAUCGAAGAACGACUUACGGAUAAGAGUACAUCGUUAACAGAAGCUCAUAAGAGCUGGUCCUCCUAAACACGCCAACAGAAGCUUGUGAGAGCUGAUCCACCCAAAUCACUCCAAACAGAAAGUAAAACACGAGAGUUCGCAACAAAUGCUGAACCUCGGUUUACUUGGGUAAUAUGCUGAUGUCCCCC